AUUGAACGCUGGCGGCAGGCCUAACACAUGCAAGUCGAACGAGUGGCGGACAGGUGAGUAAUGUCUGGGACACUGCCUGAUGGAGGGGGAUAACUACUGGAAACGGUAGCUAAUACCGCAUAACAUUGGCUGUGCCCAGAUGGGAUUAGCUAGUAGGGGGGGUAAAGGCUCACCUAGGCGACGCUCCCUAGCUGGGCGGAGAGGAUGACCGGCCCAACUGGAACUGAGAACCGGUCCAGACUCCUACGGUAGGCAGCAGUGGGGAAUAUUGCACAAUGGGCGCAAGCCUGAUGCAGCCAUGCCGCGUGUAUGAAGAAGGCCUUCGGGUUGUAAAGUACUUUCAGCGGGGAGGCGUUACCCGCAGAAGAAGCACCGGCUAACUCCGUGCCAGCAGCCGCGGUAAUAC
rnacentral:rRNA from 1 species